GUGCCAGCAGCCGCGGUAACACGUAGGCACCAAGCGUUGUCCGGAUUUAUUGGGCGUAAAGAGCUCGUAGGCGGUUCAGUAAGUCGGGUGUGAAAACUCUGGGCUUAACCCGGAGAGGCCACUCGAUACUGCUGAACUUGAGUACGGUAGGGGAGUGGGGAAUUCCUGGUGUAGCGGUGAAAUGCGCAGAUAUCAGGAGGAACACCGGUGGCGAAGGCGCCACUCUGGGCCGAAACUGACGCUGAGGAGCGAAAGCGUGGGUAGCAAACAGGAUUAGAAACCCUUGUAGUCC
rnacentral:rRNA from 1 species